CUCGUUUCAUCAGCCUAUAUACCGCCGUCGUCAGUUUACUCUGUGAAGAACUUGAAGUAAGCACAAUUGGUACAACCCAAAACGCCAGGUCGAGGUGUAGCCAAUGGAGAGGGAAGAAAUGGGCUACAUUCAAUAAAAAUAAUGAACACGAAUGAUGUUUUGAAAUAAAUAUCUAAAGGAGGAUUUAGUAGUAAGUGGAGAAUAGAGUGCUCUACUGAAAUUGGCCCUGAAGCGCGUACACACCGCCCGUCACUCUCCCCAAGCUAAAAAAGCACAUUUCUAAAAAACAAAAUCUGCAAAGGGGAGGCAAGUCGUAACAUGGUAAGUGUACCGGAAGGUGCGCUUGGAAAAAC
rnacentral:rRNA from 1 species